GCACUGCUGAGGAGUCCCCUAAUAGGACGAAACGGCCGUCCAGUAC
rfam:Schistosoma mansoni strain Puerto Rico chromosome 1, complete genome